rnacentral:rRNA from 1 species
UAGGGAAUCUUCCGCAAUGGACGCAAGUCUGACGGAGCAACGCCGCGUGAGUGAAGAAGGAUUUCGGUUCGUAAAACUCUGUUGUUAGAGAAGAACAGCGCAUAGAGUAACUGUUAUGCGUGUGACGGUAUCUAACCAGAAAGCCACGGCUAACUACGUGCCAGCAGCCGCGGUAAUACGUAGGUGGCAAGCGUUGUCCGGAUGUAUUGGGCGUAAAGCGAGCGCAGGCGGUCAAUUAAGUCUGGUGUGAAAGCCCCCGGCUCAACCGGGGAGGGUAAUUGGAGGCUGGUGGACUUGAGUGCAGAAGAGGAGAGUGGAAUUCCAUGUGUAGCGGUGAAAUGCGUAGAUGUAUGGAGGAACACCAGUGGCGAAGGCGACUCUCUGGUCUGUAACUGACGCUGAGGCUCGAAAGCGUGGGUAGCAAACAGG